GGCGAUCUGGCGGCGGCGAGCGGGUCGCCCGCCACCCAGCGGAGGCGCGGGUUGGUCUCGCCCCAGAAGAGAGGGCCCUCCAAGUGGCUGGCACAGGAUGAGAACGUGAUCCUGUGCGGUCAGUCCUGCGCCCUGCCCAAGGUCCAGUCCUCCAGCUACGGGUCCCUCGGUGGGGCCCCUGUUCGGCCCGCCACCAGUCCAAGGGCCCCUGGCUCCGCCGAGAAGAGGAGAGAUGAGGUGACGCUUCCGAACUGAUCCACUGCAAGAGUUUGCACCCGAGCACACAUUGUGGCGGUGCUGUAGAAAAAAAAAGCUUUUUCGCUUGUUUCCCCAUUCAUUCGCAGACAAAGGAAAAGCUGAAGAGUGCUUUCAUAGGGGGAGGUUGAUAUCUAACACCGACCAUCCAUUCAGAGUCAUAGAGUCAGACAACGGCUUAAAAAAAAUACCAAAAACAAAGUUUACACUAAAUAUAUGACUAUCGCAAAAGAAACACAUUCAUUGUAUGUUAUUUAACGACACGGUGUGAAGACCUGAUACAAUUUCGUAGUACGAUGUAUCAGAGGUGAGAUCAUUUAGCUUUAUAUUACCACAUAAUCUUUUUCUAUAAAUUAAAUCCGGCCACGGCCAAAGUCCAUAUCAAUCAGUAACACACAGCUUUAGUCAUCAGUAUCACAAGGGUCUAUCUAUCAGUUACAUACACAGUCUAUCAGUAACACACAGCUUUAGUCAUCAGUAUCACAAGGGUCUAUCUAUCGGUAACACACACAGUCUAUCAGUAACACACAGCUUUAGUCAUCAGUAUCACAAGGGUCUAUCUAUCAGUAACACACACAGUUUAUCAGUAACACACACACAGUGUAUCAGUCACACACACAGUGUAUCAGUCACACACAGCUUUACUCAUCAGCAUCACACUGGUCUAUUAAUCAGUAACACACAGCGACAGUCUAUCAGUAACACACAGCUACGAACAACAGUAGUAUCACACUGGUCUAUUUAUCAGUAACACAUAGCACCGUGUGUCAGUAGCACACAGUUUGUAUCCAUCAGUAACACAAAGUAACAUUCAUCAGUAACACACAGUCUAUCCAUCGGUAACACACAG
ensembl:lncRNA